ACCGGCUCAACCGAUUCUCGCGCCGUCCGGAAGUCCGAAGAAAAUUGGCGGCCCGAUAGAUGAGGAAGAGGAGGAAGAGGAUGCGGAGGAUUAUGGUGAUGCUGCUUUCUGCUCCAGUUCGUUUGAUAAUGGAGAUCCGAAUCGGCUUGGUGUUGGUGUUGAUGUGCGGGUUGAAAAGAGGAAGGAUCAGUCGGAUGAGCUUGGGGAGGAAGGAGGUUCUUAUAGUAGUUAUAAAAGAGCGAAACCUUCCUCCAGUGGCGGAGAAUACAGGAAGGAUCGAGAGGAGUGGAGCUAUGCGGCUAUCUCCUGCCUCCUGGAUGCAUAUACCGAGAAAUUUACGCAGCUGAAUAGGGGGAAUUUGAG
rnacentral:misc_RNA from 1 species